UACAGAGGGUGCAAGCGUUAAUCGGAAUUACUGGGCGUAAAGCGUGCGUAGACGGUUAUGUAAGUCGGGUGUGAAAGCCCCGGGCUCAACCUGGGAAUUGCAUUCGAGACUGCAUAGCUAGGGUGCGGAAGAGGGAAGCGGAAUUUCCGGUGUAGCGGUGAAAUGCGUAGAUAUUUGGGAAGAACACCGAUGGCGAAGGCAGCCAUCUGGACCGACACUGACGCUGAGGCGCGAAAGCGUGGGGAGCGAACAGG
rnacentral:rRNA from 1 species